GCGGGUGUAAUUCAGUGGUAGAAUGUCAGCUUCCCAAGCUGAACGUCGCCGGUUCGAGUCCGGUCACCCGCUUCA
rnacentral:tRNA from 2 species